rnacentral:rRNA from 1 species
GACGAACGCUGGCGGCGUGCUUAACACAUGCAAGUCGAACGGUGAAGCGCUUUCCUUUUUGGUGGGUGUGGAUGAGUGGCGAACGGGUGAGUAACACGUGAGUAACCUGCCCCCUCCUUCUGGAUAACCGCAUGAAAGCGUUGCUAACACGGGAUAUUCUGGGUCUGUCGCAUGAUGGUACUGGGAUAGAUAUUGUUUCGGCGGGGGAUGGGCUCGCGGCUUAGCAGCUUGUUGGGGGGGUGAUGGCCUAGCAGGGCGGUGACGGGUAGGAGGCCUGAGAGGGUGGACGGUCUCACUGGGACUGAGGGACGGCCCAGACUGCUACGGGAGGCAGCGGUGGGGAAUAUUGCACAAUGGGCGCAAGCGUGAUGCAGCGACGCCGCGGGCGGGAUGGAGGCCUUCGGGUUGUGAACGUCUUUCGCCAGUGAAGCAGGCCUGCCUCGUUUGUGGGUGGGUUGACGGUAGCUGGAGAAGAAGCGCCGGCUAACUACGUG